rnacentral:rRNA from 1 species
UAUACAUGCAAGUCGAACGAGCUUCCGUUGAAUGACGUGCUUGCACUGAUUUCAACAAUGAAGCGAGUGGCGAACUGGUGAGUAACACGUGGGGAAUCUGCCCAGAAGCAGGGGAUAACACUUGGAAACAGGUGCUAAUACCGUAUAACAACAAAAUCCGCAUGGAUUUUGUUUGAAAGGUGGCUUCGGCUAUCACUUCUGGAUGAUCCCGCGGCGUAUUAGUUAGUUGGUGAGGUAAAGGCCCACCAAGACGAUGAUACGUAGCCGACCUGAGAGGGUAAUCGGCCACAUUGGGACUGAGACACGGCCCAAACUCCUACGGGAGGCAGCAGUAGGGAAUCUUCCACAAUGGACGAAAGUCUGAUGGAGCAAUGCCGCGUGAGUGAAGAAGGGUUUCGGCUCGUAAAACUCUGUUGUUAAAGAAGAACACCUUUGAGAGUAACUGUUCAAGGGUUGACGGUAUUUAACCAGAAAGCCACGGCUAACUACGUGCCAGCAGCCGCGGUAAUACGUAGGUGGCAAGCGUUGUCCGGAUUUAUUGGGCGUAAAGCGAGCGCAGGCGGUUUUUUAAGUCUGAUGUGAAAGCCUUCGGCUUAACCGGAGAAGUGCAUCGGAAACUGGGAGACUUGAGUGCAGAAGAGGACAGUGGAACUCCAUGUGUAGCGGUGGAAUGCGUAGAUAUAUGGAAGAACACCAGUGGCGAAGGCGGCUGUCUAGUCUGUAACUGACGCUGAGGCUCGAAAGCAUGGGUAGCGAACAGGAUUAGAUACCCUGGUAGUCCAUGCCGUAAACGAUGAGUGCUAAGUGUUGGAGGGUUUCCGCCCUUCAGUGCUGCAGCUAACGCAUUAAGCACUCCGCCUGGGGAGUACGACCGCAAGGUUGAAACUCAAAGGAAUUGACGGGGGCCCGCACAAGCGGUGGAGCAUGUGGUUUAAUUCGAAGCUACGCGAAGAACCUUACCAGGUCUUGACAUCUUCUGCCAAUCUUAGAGAUAAGACGUUCCCUUCGGGGACAGAAUGACAGGUGGUGCAUGGUUGUCGUCAGCUCGUGUCGUGAGAUGUUGGGUUAAGUCGCGCAACGAGCGCAACCCUUAUUAUCAGUUGCCAGCAUUCAGUUGGGCACUCUGGUGAGACUGCCGGUGACAAACCGGAGGAAGGUGGGGAUGACGUCAAAUCAUCAUGCCCCUUAUGACCUGGGCUACACACGUGCUA